rnacentral:piRNA from 1 species
GUGAGGAGAAAGGUGACCCACAGAAGGGC